AGUCGGCUACCCACAAAGCCCCGCGAAGGAAGCGUUCCGGAAGUGACGUACUGGGGCGGAGACUCGAGUGUGUCGUCACUCUGAGUGCGCCGCAUGCCGGGCUCUUUCUCUCGCAGCUGGUGCGGGUGUUGGGGCCUGGUCCAGCUUGCAAAAGCUCGCAGGGACCAGAGAAAAGAGAACGAUGUCAGACGUAGAAACAAAUGGCGUGUCAAGUUUUGCAGAAAGGGAGGGAAGAGUGAAGCUCCGGGAGCCGACCACGAUUGGUGGCGCCUCUGUGACGUCCAACGGCAGAGGACAUACACUCUCUAG
ensembl:lncRNA